rnacentral:rRNA from 1 species
AUUGAACGCUGGCGGCAUGCCUUACACAUGCAAGUCGAACGGCAGCACGGGAGCAAUCCUGGUGGCGAGUGGCGAACGGGUGAGUAAUAUAUCGGAACGUGCCCAGACGUGGGGGAUAACGUAGCGAAAGCUACGCUAAUACCGCAUGUGAUCUGUGGAUGAAAGCGGGGGAUCGCAAGACCUCGCGCGUUUGGAGCGGCCGAUAUCAGAUUAGGUAGUUGGUGGGGUAAAAGCUUACCAAGCCUACGAUCUGUAGCUGGUCUGAGCGGACGACAAGCCACACUGGAACUGAGACACGGUCCAGACUCCUACGGGAGGCAGCAGUGGGGAAUUUUGGACAAUGGGCGCAAGCCUGAUCCAGCAAUGCCGCGUGCAGGAUGAAGGCCUUCGGGUUGUAAACUGCUUUUGUACGGAGCGAAACGGCUCUCUCUAAUACAGGGGGCUAAUGACGGUACCGUAAGAAUAAGCACCGGCUAACUACGUGCCAGCCGCCGCUGUAAAAC